GGGGCUGUGGCCCUGAGGCUGAGCAUCUGCUUGGCAUGCAAACAGUCCCAAGUUCAAUUCCUGGCAUCUCCA
rnacentral:tRNA from 1 species